UGGGGAAUAUUGCACAAUGGGCGCAAGCCUGAUGCAGCCAUGCCGCGUGUGUGAAGAAGGCCUUCGGGUUGUAAAGCACUUUCAGCGAGGAGGAAGGUGGUGAGCUUAAUACGCUCAUCAAUUGACGUUACUCGCAGAAGAAGCACCGGCUAACUCCGUGCCAGCAGCCGCGGUAAUACGGAGGGUGCAAGCGUUAAUCGGAAUUACUGGGCGUAAAGCGCACGCAGGCGGUUUGUUAAGUCAGAUGUGAAAUCCCCGGGCUCAACCUGGGAACUGCAUUUGAAACUGGCAAGCUAGAGUCUCGUAGAGGGGGGUAGAAUUCCAGGUGUAGCGGUGAAAUGCGUAGAGAUCUGGAGGAAUACCGGUGGCGAAGGCGGCCCCCCUGGACGAAGACUGACGCUCAGGUGCGAAAGCGUGGGGCAGCAAACAGGAUUAGAUACCCUGGUAGUCCACGCUGUAAAACGAUGUCGAUUUGGAGGUUGUGCCCUUGAGGCGUGGCUUCCGGAGCUAACGCGUUAAAUCGACCGCCUGGGGAGUACGGCCGCAAGGUUAAAACUCAAAUGAAUUGAC
rnacentral:rRNA from 1 species